rnacentral:rRNA from 1 species
UAUGAUGUGUAGCCGGGCUGAGAGGUUGAACGGCCACAUUGGGACUGAGACACGGCCCAAACUCCUACGGGAGGCAGCAGUAGGGAAUUUUCGGCAAUGGAGGAAACUCUGACCGAGCAACGCCGCGUGAACGAUGAAGUAUUUCGGUACGUAAAGUUCUUUUAUUAGGGAAGAAUAAAUGAUGGAAAAAUCAUUCUGACGGUACCUAAUGAAUAAGCCCCGGCUAACUAUGUGCCAGCAGCCGCGGUAAUACAUAGGGGGCAAGCGUUAUCCGGAAUUAUUGGGCGUAAAGGGUGCGUAGGCGGUUAAAUAAGUUUAUGGUCUAAGUGCAAUGCUCAACAUUGUGAUGCUAUAAAAACUGUUUAGCUAGAGUAAGAUAGAGGCAAGUGGAAUUCCAUGUGUAGUGGUAAAAUGCGUAAAUAUAUGGAGGAACACCAGUAGCGAAGGCGGCUUGCUGGGUCUUUACUG